AGCGAACGCUGGCGGCAUGCCUAACACAUGCAAGUCGAACGAGAUCUUCGGGUCUAGUGGCGUACGGGUGCGUAACGCGUGGGAAUCUGCCCUUUGGUUCGGAAUAACAGUUGGAAACGACUGCUAAUACCGGAUGAUGACGAAAGUCCAAAGAUUUAUCGCCAGAGGAUGAGCCCGCGUAGGAUUAGCUAGUUGGUGUGGUAAAGGCGCACCAAGGCGACGAUCCUUAGCUGGUCUGAGAGGAUGAUCAGCCACACUGGGACAGAGACACGGCCCAGACUCCUGCGGGAGGCAGCAGUGGAGAAUAUUGGACAAGGGGCGAAAGCCUGAUCCAGCAAUGCCGCGUGAGUGAUGAAGGCCUUAGGGUUGUAAAGCUCUUUUACCGGGGAGGAUAAUGACAGUACCGGGAGAAUAAGCGCCGGCUAGCGCCGCGCCGGCCGCCCCCGAAA
rnacentral:rRNA from 1 species